GCCCACAUAGCUCAGCGGUAGAGCACUUCCUUGGUAAGGAAGAGGUCACCGGUUCAAGACCGGUUGUGGGCUCCA
rnacentral:tRNA from 1 species